AUUGAACGCUGGCGGCAGGCUUAACAUAUGCAAGUCGAGCGGGGUGAUGGUGCUUGCACUAUCACUUAGCGGCGGACGGGUGAGUAAUGCUUAGGAAUCUGCCUAUUAGUGGGGGACAACAUCUCGAAAGGGAUGCUAAUACCGCAUACGUCCUACGGGAGAAAGCAGGGGAUCACUUGUGACCUUGCGCUAAUAGAUGAGCCUAAGUCGGAUUAGCUAGUUGGUGGGGUAAAGGCCUACCAAGGCGACGAUCUGUAGCGGGUCUGAGAGGAUGGUCCGCCACACUGGGACUGAGACACGGCCCAGACUCCUACGGGAGGCAGCAGUGGGGAAUAUUGGACAAUGGGGGGAACCCUGAUCCAGCCAUGCCGCGUGUGUGAAGAAGGCCUUAUGGUUGUAAAGCACUUUAAGCGAGGAGGAGGCUCUUUUGGUUAAUACCCAAGAUGAGUGGACGUUACUCACAGAAUAAGCACCGGCUAACUCUGUGCCAGCCGCCGCAGUAA
rnacentral:rRNA from 1 species